UACGUAGGUGGCAAGCGUUGUCCGGAAUUAUUGGGCGUAAAGCGCGCGCAGGCGGUCCUUUAAGUCUGAUGUGAAAGCCCACGGCUCAACCGUGGAGGGUCAUUGGAAACUGGGGGACUUGAGUGCAGAAGAGGAAAGCGGAAUUCCACGUGUAGCGGUGAAAUGCGUAGAGAUGUGGAGGAACACCAGUGGCGAAGGCGGCUUUCUGGUCUGUAACUGACGCUGAGGCGCGAAGCUAGGGGAGCAAACGGG
rnacentral:rRNA from 1 species